AGUGAACGCUGGCGGUAGGCCUAACACAUGCAAGUCGAACGGCAGCACAGUAAGAGCUUGCUCUUACGGGUGGCGAGUGGCGGACGGGUGAGGAAUACAUCGGAAUCUACUUUUUCGUGGGGGAUAACGUAGGGAAACUUACGCUAAUACCGCAUACGACCUACGGGUGAAAGCAGGGGAUCUUCGGACCUUGCGCGAUUGAAUGAGCCGAUGUCGGAUUAGCUAGUUGGCGGGGUAAAGGCCCACCAAGGCGACGAUCCGUAGCUGGUCUGAGAGGAUGAUCAGCCACACUGGAACUGAGACACGGUCCAGACUCCUACGGGGGGCAGCAGUGGGGAAUAUUGGGCAAUGGGCGCAAGCCUGAUCCAGCCAUACCGCGUGGGUGAAGAAGGCCUUCGGGUUGUAAAGCCCUUUUGUUGGGAAAGAAAAGCAGCAGGUUAAUACCCCGCUGUUCUGACGGUACCCAAAGAAUAAGCACCGGCUAACUUCGUG
rnacentral:rRNA from 1 species